rnacentral:misc_RNA from 1 species
AGGAUCUACUUUAAAGUUCCAAUCCUUUUUUCCCAAUUGAGUUGCUACUUCUCGUAGAGCUUCCACUUCCUCGGGAGGAAGAUGCCCUGCUUGUGCUUUAACUUUGAUUGAUCCAGUGGCCAUGAGAACCAGCAGUAGAAUUAUAGUUGACCCACUCAUGGUCUCUAAAAGUUGACGAAUUCCUGCCAUCUUUUUCAUUCAAUUAGCUGCAAGCCAACGCACUGUAUUAUAAUGGGCAAUGGCUACUUUUCUCGACUCCUGAGUACGAUGGAAGAACUCACGAUUUUCAUUUAUUUGUUUAUUUAUUACAAAGCUGUUUGAAUCUUUU